AAUGAACGUUGGCGGCGUGGAUUAGGCAUGCAAGUCGAGCGGCAGCAGGCCCGCAAGGGCGCUGGCGAGCGGCGUAAGGGAGAGUAACACGCGGGUACCUACCCUCGGGACCGGGAUAGCUGCGGGAAACUGCAAUUAAUACCGGAUAAUGUCCCAGGACCAAAGGUGUGAUUCCGCCUGAGGAGGGGCCCACGUCCUAUCAGCUAGUUGGUGAGGUAACGGCUCACAAAGGCUACGACGGGUACGGGGUGUGAGAGCAUGCCCCCGCUCACUGGGACUGAGACACUGCCCAGACACCUACGGGAGGCUG
rnacentral:rRNA from 1 species